GUGGGGAAUCUUGCGCAAUGGGCGAAAGCCUGACGCAGCCAUGCCGCGUGAAUGAUGAAGGUCUUAGGAUUGUAAAAUUCUUUCACCGGGGACGAUAAUGACGGUACCCGGAGAAGAAGCUCCGGCUAACUUCGUGCCAGCAGCCGCGGUAAUACGAAGGGGGCUAGCGUUGCUCGGAAUUACUGGGCGUAAAGGGCGCGUAGGCGGACAGCUUAGUCAGAGGUGAAAGCCCAGGGCUCAACCUUGGAAUUGCCUUUGAUACUGGCUGUCUUGAGUUUGGGAGAGGGGAGUGGAACUCCGAGUGUAGAGGUGAAAUUCGUAGAUAUUCGGAAGAACACCAGUGGCGAAGGCGACUCACUGGCCCAAUACUGACGCUGAGGCGCGAAAGCGUGGGGAGCAAACAGGAUUAGAUACCCGAGUAGUCC
rnacentral:rRNA from 1 species